GCUUUCCGGAACUGACGGCUAGUCACUGCAGCAAGGGCGGGGCAAGGCAGAAAUUCUGCCUUGCCCCGCCCUUUUUUUCCGA
rnacentral:sRNA from 1 species